rnacentral:sRNA from 1 species
AAGAUUCUCACAAUUAGUAAUGUGAAAAUCUUGGUUUAUAUUGUUCUACUAUAAAUUGUCUCGCAUCUUAGUUAUUUGCUUGCUCAAUUUCAUCUGUUAAUUUUUCAACUUCAUCGACUAAAUCAGAAAUAUAUUGA